AGUCAGCCAUUGUCAGUUACAUGGGUCUGGGCAACUGAGGGGCUUGGCUCUGCUGUUUUCCUUCAAUGAUGACAAUCUCCUGAAGGAGAUGAGACCAUCUUUUGUUCACGUAGUAAGAGUGGGAUUGAAAUAGAGAGAUGGAGAAUGAGACAGAGAGGAGGCCUGCAACCUUCAUUUAAGCAUCAUUGCUUGGGGAAAGGUGAGGUAAUGGACCCAAUCCCAGUCUGUUUUCUGCAGGAGCAGAAUCAAGGCUGAAGCAAACAUGGCCCUAAUCAGUUUUACAUCUCCGUUUAAUUUUAUUGGAAAGAAGAGCUGGCAAUGCAUCACAGAGGCCGGGUGUGACACAAAAGGUGACCCCCCUGCCAACUUAAUGGCACAAUACAUAACCCUUAAUGAAGUUGCUAUCUUGUCCCUCUUUUGCUGUCUCAGCCCCAUGAUUUACGAUGGCAUCAUUUUGCUUUGCCCUCUUUUCAUUUCAGCUUUGACAAAGUGGAUGAAACAAUUAUCUUCGUUAUCAGCCAGAGCAGAAGAAAUGUGAUAGUUGGGGAAUUUUUGCAGGUGGACGGCCUUGGCUGGGGAUCAAAACCAAUGGGUGAAAUGUGCUUAGGAAUUUUUUUCCUCUUCUCUUCUUCCUGUGACUAUGGGCUCCUGAAGAUGGAUUGUGUAUUCCAAUGAGCACUGUGAGUCCUAUAUCACUGUGGCAUGAAGUAAUUUCAAGAGAAGGGACAGCUGCAGAUAGAAGAGAGCUUGGAAUUUUGCAGUUUGUUCCUGUUGAGCCCCUUAUAUUUGUUUUUCCAUGCACGCCCAGGACAAGUUUUUUUUCUUUUUUAGUCACAUGUCAUUUUACAUCCACCUGCAUGGAUAGAACAUACAUUUUUCUAUAUUAUAAAUGAUACCUUGCAUUUAUUUAACAUAA